rnacentral:snoRNA from 1 species
AUUCCAUGGUGCGGGCAUGACACAAUAAGUCUACUGAACCUUUCCCUAUAUUUAUAUAAGCUCUCACCAGGAUUCUGCCUAAUUCCACCAAUCUCCUUUCUGAUAUU